rnacentral:rRNA from 1 species
GCCGCAAAUUACCCAAUCCUAGAUCGGGGAGGUAGUGACGAAAAAUAACAAUGCCGCAGUCGAAUAGACUCGGCAAUUGGAAUGAGUACAAUCUAAAUCCUUUAACGAGGAACAAUUGGAGGGCAAGUUCUGGUGCCAGCAGCCGCGGUAAUUCCAGCUCGAAUAGCGUAUAUUAAAGUUGUUGCAGUUAAAAAGCUCGUAGUUGGAUAUCAGGAGAUGAUUCACGGACUUCUUAAUGGAGCAACCGUGUUUUCGCUCCUCUUUGUACCGUUUCAUCGUCGAUGCACUUUAUUGUGUGUCACGUUUGAACGGCCUUUUUACUUUGAGAAAAUUAGCGUGCUUAACGCAGGCGUUACAGCUUGUAUAAUGUUGCAUGGAAUAAUGAAAUAGGACCUCGGUUCUGUU